rnacentral:rRNA from 1 species
GAGGAACUUGUUCCUCGAGUCGUUGAUUUCACACUGCCGAGAAAAGCCUCUAGCUAGAAUAACGGUGCCCGUACCGCAAACCGACACAGGUAGUCAAGAUGAGAAUUCUAAGGUGAGCGAGCGAACUCUCGUUAAGGAACUCGGCAAAAUGACCCCGUAACUUCGGGAGAAGGGGUGCUCUUUGAGGUUCACGCUUCGAAGAGCCGCAGUGAAUAGGCCCAAGCGACUGUUUAUCAAAAACACAGGUCUCUGCUAAACCGUAAGGUGACGUAUAGGGGCUGACGCCUGCCCGGUGCUGGAA